rnacentral:rRNA from 1 species
GACGAACGCUGGCGGCGUGCUUAACACAUGCAAGUCGAACGGAAAGGCCCUGCUUUUGUGGGGUGCUCGAGUGGCGAACGGGUGAGUAACACGUGAGUAACCUGCCCUUGACUUUGGGAUAACUUCAGGAAACUGGGGCUAAUACCGGAUAGGAGCUCCUGCUGCAUGGUGGGGGUUGGAAAGUUUCGGCGGUUGGGGAUGGACUCGCGGCUUAUCAGCUUGUUGGUGGGGUAGUGGCUUACCAAGGCUUUGACGGGUGGCCGGCCUGAGAGGGUGCCCGGCCACAUUGGGCCUGAGAUCCGGCCCAGCCCCCUCGGGGAGGCAGCAGUGGGGAAUAUUGCACAAUGGGCGGAAGCCUGAUGCAGCAACGCCGCGUGCGGGAUGACGGCCUUCGGGUUGUAACCCGCUUUCGCCUGUGACGAAGCGUGAGUGACGGUAAUGGGUAAAGAAGCACCGGCUAACUACGUG